rnacentral:lncRNA from 1 species
CUCUCAAAAGUUUUUCAUAGUACACUUUCCCAUCCAUGACGGACGUCUAGUUAGACUCGAGCUGCGCGUACCAGAUCCCCUGGAUCUUCACAUCCUUAGGUGCCUUGGCCCCAAGGUCGGUGUCCGACGGCUGCACACUCUCGAAGACACCGAUGACCUCGCCAGUUUCCGGGUUGCUCUUGGUGACGCUCAAUGUGAUGUUGCCCGUCGACGACGCAGCGUUCUUGAUGUUCUCCUUCACGAGCUCCUCCUCGUCUCCCCUGCCUCCGGCGGGGAGCGCGACGGCGUUGUCGUACCCGGUCGAACCACCACGGCCCUUGGGGUCGAGGAAGGAGGAGCCACGGUAGCUGGGCACGAGGAAGGGCCCGCCGAAGCUCUCGGGCUUGCCGGUGGCGACGAGCUGCUUGACGGUGAAGAGGAACGGCACGCGCUCGCCUCCUGGAAGCUGCACGGUGACGGCGGCGUAGUCGAUGCCGUCCUUCUCCUCGAACUUGAGGGUGCCGUCGGAGCCGACCUCGAGCGGGCCCUCGAUCUCGUCGAGGGUGUAGGUGAGGCGGGUCAUGAGCUUGGUCUUCUGGAACUCGGGCGGGGCGUUCUUGGCGAUGCCCUCGGCCUUGACGGUGAAGGACGUCGGCUCCAGGCAGAACUUCUUCAUCUGGUACUUGCCGGCCUUGAACGGGAAGGAGUCGACGCCGCCGUCGAUGGUCGGGCACUGGUUCGCCGUGCCCGUGCCCUUCACCUCCAUGUACGUCUUGCUCUGGAUCUCGUCGUAGGUCAGCCUCUUGGGCGUGCCCUCCGCGCUCGCGCCCUGUAACACGCACGCACACGUCAUCAAUUUGUCUCCCAAGUCCCAACUAUGAUAACAAAUCGGAUUCAGCCACGGUUGCUUACCGAGACGAGGAGCGCCGAUGUGGCGAGCGCGAAGCCGGCGAGCUUGGCGGCGUCGAUGCACUUGCUGGCGACCUCCCUGACGUCGGACUGCAGGGAGCACGAGAUCCUGCCCGCGCCGGCGUCGACGCCGAACGCCCUGGCGACGUGGGAGGCCUGGCGGGACGGCAGCGAGGCGGAGGCCCGGCCGCCGAUCUUGGCCGGCUGCAUUAGGGUGGCCGCGGCUUGGAGUGACGCUGCCAUGGUCGUCGUCGCUGCGCCUGCGCUGUCCUGCCUCUG